ensembl:lncRNA
UUUACACUUGGAGCCUGCUACCUGAACUGAUGGAGCAUUGUCUCACCGUGGAGGCCGCAUGGGAGCAAGAGGAAGAAACAGCUCCUGGAAGCUUGCUGCUAAUCCGAGUUCAGCCUGCUCCUGCCCUUCAAUGGCCUGAGUCUCUGGACAUCAUAUGGACUGCACCCCCAGGAUCAGAAGCCCCUUCUCCUUCCCUUCUGUUCUGACAAAUGGCAGAUGGAUUCACUCCCUCCUCAUGCAGGUUCAGUUCUUUUCAAAUAUGAGAAGUUUUAGAGAACGUGAAGCAUCAGACUGGAAUGCUGGUGCAAUUCAGAGCAGGAGAAGCUCAGGAGGUCAAGACAAAAGAACCAGGAGGCUGCAGUCCUCAGCUUGCCUUUUAAUUCAUCUUUCAUGGUUUUAGCUGAGCAACUGGCACAGUAGGCACCAUGACUUUGUUCCCAUGACAUUACGUCUUGAGAGAAUCAGUGCAGCCUCAGACAAGAUGAGUGGAAAAUCACAUUAGGAGUCAGUGACGAGAAAACUUAUUCAAAAUCUUCCCUUGUUCAAGACUCAGAAAUAUUAUCCAAGCAAAACUGUUUCAGAAUCUAGCUAAAGAGCCACGAUUCUGAUGAUAAUUAAGCCUCUGAUAAUUGUGGUGCGUUGACAACAGACCUGUUGUAUUAGUCUUUAAUGCAGCUCUACCACCCUAUUAUUUUGCUCUGUUCUUUAAUCAUCUUGCUUGAAUGUUUAUGUCAAUUCUACCUUGUCAUUUAUCCCUCUGUCUCUUGGCCUGCUAAAAUGAAACACAGAAUACCAAUAACAUUAAAAAAAAAAUGAAAUGGUGAAGCAUUACAGAAAAUGUAAUGGGGAAAGCUUCCAUGAAACGUCAUUCAACACAUUCAAAACUAUAUUAAACACUUUCUGUAACCCAAACAACUACGAACCUCAGUAUUCAAUAUGAAAAAUCAGACUCCUUCUUUCUUCCAAAACUGGGUAGAAUAAUAUAGAUUUUUGUUGAGAGUGGAUUGCUUUAGAGGCUUGUUUUCUGUCCUACUGGGAAAAUGAAAGAUUUAUGUAUGGAAAAAGUAACAAGUAAGGCUGCACGACAUGAAGGUUAUUUCCAGUUAAUCUUUAUGCUACUUCUAAUUGAUUAGUCCAUUUUUAGAACUUCAGAACUUUAAAACAGUGUAUGUCCUCCGGGCACCUGUGUGUCCCGCAACUACCAGACAGGGACUUGCAAACUUAGCAAUGAGAUUUUCAAAGUUGAAGGAAGAAUGUGAAUGUCAAGCGCUUAUUUGAAUUAGUGAAAGUACCUCCUGGUAAGACCCGUGGUGAGUGUUAAAGAAAGACAUUCGUGCAAAAAUAAAUUCCCUUACAAUGCUGACUACAGUGCU